AUGUGAAGACAUAUCACGUUGAAAGUACCGGUUCUCGUUCGAUCACCGAAGUUAAGCAACAUCGAGCCUAGUUAGUACUUAGAUGGGUGACCGCUUGGGAAACCUAGGUGCUGUAAGCA
rnacentral:rRNA from 1 species